rnacentral:rRNA from 1 species
UACGUAGGGUGCGAGCGUUUGUCCGGAAUUAUUGGGCGUAAAGAGCUCGUAGGCGGCGUGUCGCGUCGGAUGUGAAAGCCCGGGGCUUAACUCCGGGUCUGCAUUCGAUACGGGCAUGCUUGAGUGUGGUAGGGGAGAUCGGAAUUCUUGGUGUAGCGGUGAAAUGCGCAGAUAUCAGGAGGAACACCGGUGGCGAAGGCGGAUCUCUGGGCCAUUACUGACGCUGAGGAGCGAAAGCGUGGGGAGCGAACAGG